rnacentral:rRNA from 1 species
UACGUAGGGUGCAAGCGUUGUCCGGAAUUAUUGGGCGUAAAGAGCUCGUAGGCGGUCUGUCGCGUCGGCUGUGAAAACCCGGAGCUCAACUCCGGGCCUGCAGUCGAUACGGGCAAACUGGAGUACUGCAGGGGAGACUGGAAUUCCUGGUGUAGCGGUGAAAUGCGCAGAUAUCAGGAGGAACACCGGUGGCGAAGGCGGGUCUCUGGGCCGAUAUUGACGCUGAGGUGCGAAAGCGUGGGGAGCAAACAGG